AUUGAACGCUGGCGGCAGGCCUAACACAUGCAAGUCGAGCGGAUGAAGGGAGCUUGCUCCUGGAUUCAGCGGCGGACGGGUGAGUAAUGCCUAGGAAUCUGCCUGGUAGUGGGGGAUAACGUCCGGAAACGGGCGCUAAUACCGCAUACGUCCUGAGGGAGAAAGUGGGGGAUCUUCGGACCUCACGCUAUCAGAUGAGCCUAGGUCGGAUUAGCUAGUUGGUGGGGUAAAGGCCUACCAAGGCGACGAUCCGUAACUGGUCUGAGAGGAUGAUCAGUCACACUGGAACUGAGACACGGUCCAGACUCCUACGGGAGGCAGCAGUGGGGAAUAUUGGACAAUGGGCGAAAGCCUGAUCCAGCCAUGCUCGCGUGUGUGAAGAAGGUCUUCGGAU
rnacentral:rRNA from 1 species